UACGGGGGGGGCAAGCGUUGUUCGGAAUUACUGGGCGUAAAGGGCUCGUAGGCGGCCAACUAAGUCAGACGUGAAAUCCCUCGGCUUAACCGGGGAACUGCGUCUGAUACUGGAUGGCUUGAGUUUGGGAGAGGGAUGCGGAAUUCCUGGUGUAGCGGUGAAAUGCGCAGAUAUCAGGAAGAACACCCGUGGCGAAGGCGGCUCUCUGGGACGGUACUGACGCUGAGACGCGAAAGCGUGGGGAGCAAACAGG
rnacentral:rRNA from 1 species